AGGGCCGAGGCCCCUGCUCCUCACCCAGCCGCUGCCCGGCUGCACUUGCAUCCCAUCAUCCUCCCCUGCUCAGCAGCCCAGCCUGGGGAGAGGGAAGCCUGGACCGGAAGCCUCCUGCACAGUCCUCAGGGCAGUUGCUGGUGAUGCCUCCUGGCUGGAAUGAGGAGGAGGCCUGAGGAAGGAGGAGGAGCAGAAAGGGGCUUGGUGUCUCCCAGACACUGAGACAGCCCAGGCCCCUUCUCCCUUCCCAGCACGCUUAGAGCAGGGAAAGGCUUGAGCCCAGGGAGGAGUGCUUCAGGAGAGAGUCACCGGAAGUGCAGGCUGAGCAGCGUGAGGGAGUGAGGUGCACGGGGAGCUGCCCAGGCUUUGGCUCCUCAAGGGUUGUUCAGCAGCAAAACACCUGCAGCCCCUGGGCUCCCACAGCUGCCUCCCAAGUGGACCCCAUGAAGAUCCUGCCAGGCCUUUCCCUUCCGGUCUCUGUCCUGAGCUCAGGCCUCCUUCUCCUCUCCUGGACCCACUCUUCUCCCGAGAGAACCUGUGACAGAACCCAGAAGAGCAGACUGUGUGCGCUGGGGAGGAGCAGGCCAUGGAAGAGAAUCCAAAUGGGACUGAAGCAGAGGGAACCGGCAACUCCUACAUCUUCGCCCUGGUCUGAUCACACAGGUGCAGGUGACUUCAGGAUUGGGGCAAGCCAUCUGCUAUCCUGUCUUUCCACUGCAGAGCUGUGGGCCCGGAAGCUAAGACUCACAUCUUGGGUUUGAAAUGGGCCGUUACCAUUACUGCUGUGAAGUCUUUUCUGUGCCUUGGUGGUGUCAUCAAUAAACUGAGGAUAACA